UGUAGAGACUAACUUAAACAUGGUUUGUUUAUAUUUGUAGAUAAGAUAUAAUGGCUGUAUGGUUUCUUACUAAUUAACCAGGUUUUCCGAAGGAAUUAACCAGGUUUUCCGAAGGAAAAAACUGGUUAUUAGAUUGGCGAAUGCGGGCGGGCUGGCUGGCGGGCUGGCUGGCUGGCGGGCUGGCGGAAUAAGCUUGUCCGGGCCAUAACUAUGUCGUUCAUUGUCAGAUUUUAAAAUCAUUUGGCACAUUUGUUCACCAUCAUUGGACGGUGUGUCGCGCGAAAUAAUUACGUCGAUAUCUCCAAGGUCAAGGUCACACUUUGAGUUCAAAGGUCAAAAAUGGCCAUAAAUGAGCUUGUCCUGGCCAUAACUAUGUCAUUCAUUGUGAGAUUUUAAAAUCAUUUGGCACAUUUGUUCACCAUCAUGGGACGGUGUGUCCCACGAAAGAAUCACGUCAAUAUCUCCAAUGUCAAAGUCGCCACGACUAAAAAUAGAUUUAAAAAAAAAAAAAAAACUUACAAAGGGGGUUAAUUUUUUUUGGUCAUUUAAAAAGUUCAGUUUGAGUUUUCUCCCUUUAUCAGAUUUUUUUUU